AGUGAACGCUUGCGGUAGGCCUAACACAUGCAAUUCGAACGGCAGCACAGUAAGAGCUUGCUCUUACGGGUGGCGAGUGGCGGACGGGUGAGGAAUACAUCUGAAUCUACUUUUUCGUGGGUGAUAACGUAUGGAAACUUACGCUAAUACCGCAUACGACCUACGGGUGAAAGCAGGGGAUCUUCGGACCUUGCGCGAUUGAAUGAGCCGAUUUCGGAUUAGCUAGUUGGCGGGGUAAAGGCCCACCAAGGCGACGAUCCGUAGCUGGUCUGAGAGGAUGAUCAGCCACACUGGAACUGAGACACGGUCCAGACUCCUACGGGAGGCAGCAGUGGGGAAUAUUGGACAAUGGGCGCAAGCCUGAUCCAGCCAUACCGCGUGGGUGAAGAAGGCCUUCGGGUUGUAAAGCCCUUUUGUUGGGAAAGAAAAGCAGCAGGUUAAUCCCCCGCUGUUCUGACGGUACCCAAAGAAUAAGCACCGGCUAACUUCGUG
rnacentral:rRNA from 1 species